AACCAGACUCCUACGGGAGGCAGCAGUGGGGAAUAUUGGGCAAUGGGCGCAAGCCUGACCCAGCAACGCCGCGUGAAGGAAGAAGGCCCUCGGGUUGUAAACUUCUUUUAUCAGGGACGAAACAAAUGAUGGUACCUGAUGAAUAAGCCACGGCUAACUACGUGCCAGCAGCCGCGGUAAUACGUAGGUGGCAAGCGUUAUCCGGAUUUACUGGGUGUAAAGGGCGUGUAGGCGGGUCUGCAAGUCAGAUGUGGAAUUCCAGGGCUCAACCCUGGAACUGCAUUUGAAACUGUAGUUCUUGAGUACUGGAGAGGCAGACGGAAUUCCUAGUGUAGCGGUGAAAUGCGUAGAUAUUAGGAGGAACACCAGUGGCGAAGGCGGUCUGCUGGACAGCAACUGACGCUGAGGCGCGAAAGCGUGGGGAGCAAACAUGAUUAGAUACCCGAGUA
rnacentral:rRNA from 1 species